rnacentral:rRNA from 2 species
AAGCUAGUAAGAUCCCUGAAAGAUGAUCAGGUUGAUAGGUUCGAGGUGGAAGCAUGGUGACAUGUGGAGCUGACGAAUACUAAUAGAUCGAGGACUUAACCAU